CUGUGUCAUAAACUUCAGUUGGAAACUCGAUAAAAGAGUCCACAACUUUUACAUUUUGGGCAAUUUAUAUAACGUUUUUUUUAUAACAAUAUAUUACAUACAAUUCACUCAAGUAAAAAUAAAGUUGAAAGCAGUUUCGUUUUAUUAUUAUGGAUUUAAGCUGUCAGUUUUACAAAUUGGUGUAAUAGUAAUUUAGUAGAUGGUUUUUGGACUUACUGAUUAGCCUCUUUUGUACAAAACCAACGUUGAAUUGUUAUUAAUCGCCACUUACAUAAGGCAGUUAGUAACUUCCGUUUCCCAACUAUUUUUCAAUAGUGGCCAGGAACUUUGUCAUCAGGUGCAUUUCCAAAGCAAGGGGAAACUUUUCGCCAAAGGGACCCAGAGCAUAAGAGAAUAGGAGAAUUGGAGAAGCUGAGAAAUGGAAGAAUGGAGAAAGAGAAGUCCAGGGAAUCGUUGACAGGAAGCAAACCGAAACGGCACCAACAAAUUACCCGACCCAUAACCACAGUGCAAUCAAUUGUAGUGGUCCAGCAGAACACACUCGCUCCAGUCGGAUUCGGAGGAGGCAGCCGAGAGCGAGGACGCAGUGCCUCCAAAAGCACUUUAUAUGCCGAGGUAAUGGCGCCUAAUAAACGUCUUCACUCGAGUGCGCUUGGCACCGCCCAGCCACCCCCCACCACCCCUUUGCACCACCCAACCAGAGAGGGGAGCAGCGGGGCAAGGACAGGGUGUGGGGAAGGUGGAGCCAGUAAUUAUGAUUUAUGUCGCUUUGGAGAAUGUGCAAGGCGUCUAAUUGUGUGGGCGGGCGUUGGCUACAAUUACGCCCAUCUCCAUCAUUUCCCCCCCUCUUCUGUUGGUCACCUUGUCCCCCGAAUAUGUCUGCUAUUAUGUCAAGCCAGCCGAAAAUAGUGGAAAUCCUACACGAAUGUCGGAUAAAGUAAUUACAGGAUGCUCAUUUCCCCCCGAGUUUCUGGGGGGCAAGCCCGCACCCACACACCAACACCAGCACUAAGACAGGACAGCACAGGACAGAACAGGACAGAACAGGACUGACAGGACGUGCGAGUGUGUCCUGAUGUAAUGCAUGCUAAUGCGACACCUUCACCUCUCUCUCUCUCUCUCACUCUAAUCCUUGAUCAUUAAAAUAAUUCAACUUGACCCGAGACUGGACCGGAUCAGGACCUGGGCGAACGAAAGGAUUCCUGGAAUUCUUUGGUGGCCGCAUAAUGCUAAUGAAUCGGUAUGCCUCCCAUUCCCACUCCUACUUCAACUCCCACUCCUAAUCUCACUCCUUUCACUGCCAUUUCGUAAUGCCACAAAGGAUUUUCCCUGCCGACGGCUGGGGACAAUUGAAAAAUCAGUAAACGAUGCCGCAUUGUCAACGCCACGUCCCUGUGGAGAAGUGGGCAGGAUUGGGGAAUCGUCAUUCCAUGAGUGGAGCAUCAUUCGCACUUAAUUAGUAGAAUGGCCGAUUUAAAAGUGGGCGUAGGGCGUUGGGCGUGGGGCGUGUCCAAUCAGCUGUGGAGCCUAAUUACAGCUUGGACUUUCACUACCAUUUCAAAUCGUACUCGGCCAGAUGCGGGCUCCAAAAACCAUCGAGUGUCCACCAGAUGGGAUAAACGAGAAUCGUAAAUGAAUGCAAAAUAGACAGGAAAAUCAUUCCACACUAAAACCAACUCCGAAGCUGUUUAGGGUUUCCUUUUGAAGAGUGAAAUUCUUUAUGCGAUUAGUACGGAAAUGACAUGAAAGGCACUGAAAGUGGUGUGUCCUUAAAAAGGAAAAGUUGGAAGGAUGAGAUUGAGACAGAAGAUGAGAAAAGGCAGGAGAGAUAAUAAGUAAUUCGGUUUCCUUUUUCGAACUGUUAAUAAAAAGUGAAUCCAAACCUCA